rnacentral:lncRNA from 1 species
GUGUGGAUUUAGCAAUUACUUAGCUCAGCAGAGAUAAUGUACCCCAUAAAAUGGCAGAGACACUGGCCAGGGCUGGGCCCAGGAAUUCAGUAUGGAUAAUAUUCUAAUUCUGUAUGACAAGCUUUACCAUAAAUUUGAAUCUGUAAUUUCUGCUUUGAUCAAUUUGAUGUAUAAGGAGUGGAGCCAGUCAAAUUUGGAAAUAAAAUUUCGAGGUUAGAAUUCCAAUUAUGCCGGUGAUUCACUGCAUAAAACAUACGAGCCUCAGUUUCCUUUUUCAUCUGAAAUAAAAGGAGAUUGACUCCAGGAUCUUCCAAGGCUGCUAUUCCAAGAGCAGGUUCAUAAAGGUGAUUGUCAAGCUCCAGUGCAAAUGCUAAUAAUCUGGAAUUUUCCUUCAAACCAUCUGCCUAUGCAAAAUACAACUGGGUCACACUGGAAAAUCUUGAAGAUAUAAACCUUUUGCCAUGUAAAUGUGAAGGAGGAAAAAAAUGGAAGAGAAUCUACGAUUUUAAAAGGCAUAUUUUAGUGGGUUACAAUAUGUUAUAAUUGAUAUUUCUUACUGGCCUAAAAACAACACUAAAAUAAUCCUGAAGAGCAGAGUAGCUGUAAAAAAAAAUCGCAAUAAAAAAAUCCUCCCAUAAUAAGCUAAAAUG